rnacentral:rRNA from 1 species
GAUGAACGCUGGCGGCGUGCCUCAGACAUGCAAGUCGAACGAUUAAGACUUCCUUCGGGAAGUGCAUAAAGUGGCGCACGGGUGAGUAACUCGUAAGUAAUCUACCCUCGAGUGGGGAAUAACGUUCGGAAACGAACGCUAAUACCGCAUAACGCAGCGGCACCGCAAGGUGACAGUUGUUAAAGGAGUAAUUCGCUUGAGGAGGAGCUUGCGGCAGAUUAGCUAGUUGGUAAGGUAACGGCUUACCAAGGCUACGAUCUGUAUCCGGUCUAAGGGGAGGGUCGGACACACUGACACUGAAUAACGGGUCAGACUCCUACGGGAGGCAGCAGUCGGGAAUUUUGGGCAAUGGGCGAAAGCCUGACCCAGCAACGCCGCGUGAAGGAUGAAGUAUUUCGGUAUGUAAACUUCGAAAGAAUGGGAAGAAUAAAUGACGGUACCAUUUAUAAGCUCCGGCUAACUACGUGCCAGCAGCCGCCGUAAAAC